rnacentral:tRNA from 1 species
GGCCUAAUGGCCCAAUGGCAAGGCGCUUGACUACGAUUCACAUCUGAAAUCAAGAGAUUCCAGGUUCGACCCCUGGUUAGGUCAC